AUGUCAGCAGAGCAUGGUCCAGUCUGGCUUGAGACAAAAAUGGCCACAGAGACAGAUGGCAACUGCCCCAUCUGCCAGGACUCCCAGAAGGAUGUGGCUUCUGCUCUGCCCUGUCGCCACCGCUUCUGCCUGGGCUGCAUCCUGCGGUGGGCACACAGAAAUCCCUCGUGCCCACUCUGCAGGACACCAAUAGAGACCGUCAGGUUUUCUGAGCAGGGUGAAUGGGACUACGUACAAUUGGUCAUCGCCUCUCCUGGAGAGUCACCAGAAGGCCGUGGCCAGGGAGCACUGUCCCCAGCUGAGCAGGGGGCUGCAGGGCCAGAGCCUGUGGGUGGCCUCCUGCCCGAGGUGUGGGCCGGACUAUUCAAGCAAAACCAGCAUCUCCUGGAGCCCAUGCGGCCCUGGCUGCGCCAGAGGCUGGAACAAAUAUACCGGGGCCGGUGGUGGCUGGCUGAGGCCACAGAGAGCUGCAUCCUGCGCUACCUCUGCAUCUGCGGUCUGGAUGCAGAGGCCUUGGCCCGCAGGCUGCUGGUCUUCCUUGCGGGGCACACAGCGCCGCUGGUCCAUGGCCUCAUCGAGGUUGUUGCAGCCCAGUGCAGCAAGGAGGCCCAGAGGCUUCUGCAUUCCCACAGUGCUGGGGAUGAGGACAACAGCCAAGCAGACAACACCAGCUCCAGCAGAUCCAACUCCAGCAGUUUCGGUUCCAGUAGCUCUGAGGAGAGCACCCCCGCCAGUGGCUCCAAUAUGGAGGAAGACACUGGCACCUCAGAGGUCACUCAGCGUGGGGUUCCCAGCCAGCGCCCACCUGUGCCUGAUCCUGAAGAGGGGGACCAGCCCCAGCAGCAGCCAGAGCAGCCGGAGCAGCCAGCAGUGGCAGGCCCCUCUGCUCUCAGUCAGGGCAGGGGCUGCUUGUCUGGGGUGACCACAUGUGCCCAAAAGAGGAAGGCCCCCAGGCCUCUGGAUUCCUCCCAGCCCAGCAAGAGGCUGUGAUGGGACUGACUUGAACCCUGAAGCCCUAAGGGAACCUCGUCAUCAUUUCAGAUUAAAUGAUGAAACUUCAUCUCUCUCUUCAUUUCCCAUUUCCCAUCCAAGGCCAAUGCAGUCCUUUGGGAAGUGACUUCACCUUUCCAGGUCUGAGUUCCAGAAGGCUUUUGUGAGAUCUCCAUUAGGUCAGUCCUACAGAGCCAGGGGACUGAAUAAAUCUAUAAAUGUUGGAAUCCCUCGGUAGCUGAGUCUAGCAUCCUUAAAUGCGAGCACAUUUGAAAAUUUUGCUUCAUACAUGAUUUGGCUUGUGAAAGGAAAGUCUGAAUCAAGAAAAAAAAAAAAAACAAACCUAUGGAGAAAUAGGAUUCCAUUAAAGUUCUUAGUCCUUGCAGUUUUAUGAGCUAAUUUGAUAUAGAUUGUUCAAGUCUGUAAGCACCUAAACCAGAACCCAAUAGUUGCUAGGCAGCAGUGCCUUUGCUCUGCAAAGACUCUGCUGUGAAUGUGAGGUCAAGGGCAAAGAGUCUUAUGAUGGCUGAGUCAGUUGUUCUGCUCCAAUCAGCACAAAAGAUGUUUCUCAAUGAUCUCCAGGGCCAGGAGGCCAAUAUCUGACAGAAAAGUUGAAAUUAAAGAUUAAUAAAAAUGGUACCAGAAGUUUACUGUUAUUUUUGACACUACAAGUUAUUUAAAAUAGCAAUGACCCCUCAACUUGUCUCGCACAGUACAGUGCACACUACACACAACUGGACAGAAUCCAGUUAAAAUAAUGAGUGACAAUGUGCCCCAUCCCCACAGCAGCAGUGUAUUGUUAAAAUAAAGUAACCUUUUAAUCUCUAAUGCUGUGGCUGAUCAUUUUGUUAUAUUAUGCUGUAAUUACCUCACAGCAAGUUGUUCACUCAGGCGGCAUAAUGGAAAAGGAUGAGUAGUUUUAUAAUCUUUCUUCUCUCUUCUUCUCAGAGUCUUUGUGCACAUUUCCUCCUAUCCUUCUCUCCUUUGUCAUGCACAGGUGUGUUUUUAGGUCCUGGAGACCUAAAAUUUUGAUUUUAAUGUUUAACUUUGCAGAUACUGGUUUCCUAUUUUUGUUGCACCUGACAGGCACAGGAUACCACAACACCAGGUGGAAAAAAAGUCAUGGUAAGGCAGCUUGUGCACAAAGGGAACUACACAUAUAGGAAGGAAGUAUUUUAUUUUAUCUUGAAAUGAGUGGGGGCUACAUGUGACUUUUGACCUGGAUGUCU
rnacentral:lncRNA from 1 species